rnacentral:rRNA from 1 species
CCUACGGGAGGCUGCAGUCGAGAAUAAUUCACAAUGGGGGAAACCCUGAUGGGGCGACGCCGCGUGGGGGAAUGAAGGUCUGCGGAUUGUAAACCCCUGUAAUGGGGGAGCAAAUUAAAAAGAUAGUACCACAAGAGGAAGAGACGGCGCACGCUGUGCCAGCAGCCGCGGUAAGACAGAGGUCACAAGCGAUGUUCGGAAUCACUGGGCGUAAAGGGUGCGUAGGCUGUUGCGUAAGGCGUGGGUGAACGGCGCGGGACCAACCCGCUGACGGCUCAUGAUACAGGGAGCCUAGAGUAAUGGAGGGGUAACCGGAAUUCUCGGUGUAGCCGUGCAAUGCUUAGAUAUCGGGAGGAACACUCGUGGCGAAGGCGGCUUCCUGGACUUUACCUGACGCUGAGGCACGAACGCCUGGGGAGCGAACCGGAUUAGAUACCCCAGUAGUC